rnacentral:rRNA from 1 species
UCUGGUGGUUUGGCGACGGGGUCAUACCCGAUCUCAUUCCGAAUUCGGAAGUCAAGCCCGUUUGCGCCGAUGAUACUCAUAUGGGGAAAGUAGGUAGCCGCCAGAA